ACAACAGCUGAUGCAUGGUCAAUAUAUAAAAAGUCAUACAUUGGCAUCACUGCCACUUGGAUAAAUGAAGAUAAUUCCAGAACUAAUUGUUUACUAGCUCUGAAAAGGCUUGAAGGCAGUCAUACUUAUGACAUUUUGGCAAAAUGUAUGGACAGUAUUUAUACAAGUUAUGAAAUAACUGAUAAAGUUCAUUUUUGUACAACAGAUAAUGGCUCUAAUUUUGUUAAAUGUUUCAGAGAAUUUAAUCAUAUUUUGGAUGAAAAGGAUGCUACGAGUCUAAUUGAUUCACCCAGUAAUUUGUCUGAAAUAGAUGAUGAUACAACUGAAAUUAUUAAUGUAUUUGAUAUGGAAAAUGAAAAUAAUUUUG